rnacentral:rRNA from 1 species
CAGCAGCCGCGGGAAUACGUAGGUGGCAAGCGUUGUCCGGAAUUAUUGGGCGUAAAGGGCUCGCAGGCGGUUUCUUAAGUCUGAUGUGAAAGCCCCCGGCUCAACCGGGGAGGGUCAUUGGAAACUGGGAAACUUGAGUGCAGAAGAGGAGAGUGGAAUUCCACGUGUGGCGGUGAAAUGCGUAGAGAUGUGGAGGAACACCAGUGGCGAAGGCGACUCUCUGGUCUGUAACUGACGCUGAGGAGCGAAAGCGUGGGGAGCGAACAGGAUUAGAUACCCGGGUAGUCCCUGUCUCUUAUAC